rnacentral:sRNA from 2 species
GAGUCUUAUCCGCGAGAUCGCAGUGACAGGGGCGGGGGACCCACUUUUCGUCCGAGGCCAUGAGCCACGGACUUGGGGUGAAGUCACGCACGAGACCGCACAGGUCGGCGUGACCGGGCUGAGCAACUGGCCCGAACCCGACAGCUCACCUCGUAGGCGCUCGAGAGGUUGC